GAUGAACGCUGGCGGCGUGCCUAAUACAUGCAAGUCGAGCGAACGGACGAGAAGCUUGCUUCUCUGAUGUUAGCGGCGGACGGGUGAGUAACACGUGGAUAACCUACCUAUAAGACUGGGAUAACUUCGGGAAACCGGAGCUAAUACCGGAUAAUAUUUUGAACCGCAUGGUUCAAAAGUGAAAGACGGUCUUGCUGUCACUUAUAGAUGGAUCCGCGCUGCAUUAGCUAGUUGGUAAGGUAACGGCUUACCAAGGCAACGAUGCAUAGCCGACCUGAGAGGGUGAUCGGCCACACUGGAACUGAGACACGGUCCAGACUCCUACGGGAGGCAGCAGUAGGGAAUCUUCCGCAAUGGGCGAAAGCCUGACGGAGCAACGCCGCGUGAGUGAUGAAGGUCUUCGGAUCGUAAAACUCUGUUAUUAGGGAAGAACAUCUGUGUAAGUAACUGUGCACAUCUUGACGGUACCUAAUCAGAAAGCCACGGCUAACUACGU
rnacentral:rRNA from 1 species